rnacentral:misc_RNA from 1 species
GGGUGUGUUUGUUCAUCCAUGUGUGCGGUUCGGAGCAAAGCUCCUGGCUGUUGGUGCCGUGGUGGUGUUGCUCUACUUUUGGGUAGACAGGUUGGCUUCUCUCAUUGAGGAGCGUUCGCGUGAGUCUUUGGGUUAGGUCGAUCUUUCUGCUCGAUCGUAGUCCAGCUCCUUCACACUCCUUCGAGUUUUGUUCUUGUGGAAAUGGGAUUAGAAGGGAUUCUACUAGCCCUGGUAUCAGGAAGGUGGUGUCCCCACAACAAAACUCGAAGGAGUGU